GAUGAACGCUGGCGGCGUGCUUAACACAUGCAAGUCGAACGGUGAAGGCGGAGCUUGCUCUGCUGGAUCAGUGGCGAACGGGUGAGUAACACGUGAGCAAUCUGCCCCUGACUCUGGGAUAAGCGCUGGAAACGGCGUCUAAUACUGGAUACGAGCUGCGAAGCCAUCUUCAGCAGCUGGAAAGAAUUUCGGUCAGGGAUGAGCUCGCGGCCUAUCAGCUUGUUGGUGAGGUAAUGGCUCACCAAGGCGUCGACGGGUAGCCGGCCUGAGAGGGUGACCGGCCACACUGGGACUGAGACACGGACCAGAAUCCUACGGGAGGCAGCAGUGGGGAAUAUUGCACAAUGGGCGAAAGCCUGAUGCAGCAACGCCGCGUGAGGGACGACGGCCUUCGGGUUGUAAACCUCUUUUAGCAGGGAAGAAGCGAAAGUGACGGUACCUGCAGAAAAAGCGCCGGCUAACUACGUG
rnacentral:rRNA from 1 species